CCUAUAGUUUUGUCUCAGGUUUUCAAGAAAUUGUUGCCAUUUUUGUAGAAUGAAUUGUCCUUUAAUGUUUUUGUUGUUGGGGUGAAAUAGUGGUAAUAGACUGGAGAGAAAUAUAAUGAUUGUGUAUAAAAAUAAGUCAUUCCUUUUAUAGCUUACAUGUGCUGGCUCUGUGUUUGCCCCUAAUACUGGUACAUUUGUCUUAGUGUUCAUUUUUGUCGAGAAUAAGCGUUGUAUUGUUCAGAGUAAAGCCUGUAUGUUUCUAGAAAUAUCCUUAUUUGAAUUACAUAUUGACUUUAAGAAAUAUCUCAAUUUUAUUACCAUCAAAUUUUUUCAUUCUUAGCCCACAUAGCCCAAAGGGGCAGUAUGCCAUCUUCUGUGAAACUUGGACAACCGUUUUGAAUACAAAGAUUUCUGGAAAUAUGAGUGAUAUAAUUUUUACAUUAAAAAGAUGUCUGCAAAAUAUGAAUGGUGUGGUUUUGUCCCUUAGACUUUCUGAAAUAUCAGUGUCAAAUAUUUUCUCAAUUACAUGUACUGUGAUUUUUGCUACCAAGAAAUAUACAUUCCUGUUUCAUUUUGUUAAGGAACCAUAUGUGUAUUGCAUUAUAUUUUCAAGUUAUUUUAUUGCCAGACAGGUUUUUAAAUGGCUAACUAGUUGAUUCUUUUCUUUUCUUAUAGAUGAAUAACUAACAACAUGAUUGUCUUCAUAAUUCUGAAUAUUAUCUCACUCAAUUUUGGACCCAAUUUUGGUCAUGACUGAUAAAUAUGACCUCUUUGAACUCAAUUGUAAUUGUAUUGUUUUGAGAUGUCCUUUAAAAUUUUAUAUACAAUUUCUAUAUAAUUUUUAUAGCUUUAAACAUCACCAUAUCAUUUAGUAUUUG
rnacentral:lncRNA from 1 species